rnacentral:lncRNA from 1 species
AACUAUAUUUGGUUUUGGGUUAGAAAGGAGAUUUAUAUUUUUGUGUGGUGCUUCUAUAAAUUCCUUGUUGUAAAAACUGCAACCAUUAUAGUGCAUUUGCUUCUUGGGUUGGAAGGACACUGGAUGUAGGCAUUGUUGGCCGAACCAAUAUAAACAGUGUUUGAAUUUUCUGAUCCCUACACCCUUUACUUUUCAGUCGACUAUAUUUGCUAGGCAGUCAACUGCAUUUUUCCG